rnacentral:lncRNA from 1 species
AGAUUUUGCAGAUGAGGUAUUUUUGACACUAACAGUAUAGUACCAGACUGUCAUCUCAGCACUUAGGAGGCUGAGGCAGGAGGAUUGCAAUGAGUUCCAGGUUAGUUCUCUUCAGCAAGACCCUGAUUUAAAACCAAAACAAGGCCAAGGUUGAGCUCUAGUUGGCAGAAUGCUCAUCAGGUAGUUCUUGGAGGCUUUGAAUCUGGAAUCCCCUAGCCCCAGCCUUCUAGGAGCUAGAUUACAAGCAAGUGCUGUUUCUAUUAAAUACCAUGUUUUGGGUUUGGGGAGAUGGGCCAGUGGUCAAGAGUGCUUGCUUCUCCUUCAGUGGACCAGACAGACUUCAGUUCCCAGCAUCCAGGUUGGGUGGUCCACAGCCCCCUAACAUUCCAGCUUCAGGGGAAUCUGAUACCCUCUGGCCUCUGUGGGCACCUAUACACACACACACACAUGCACACACACACAAGCUGUCUCUCUCUCUCUCACACACACACAAGCUAUGUCACACACACACACACAUACACACAUGCUGUCUCUCUCACACACACACAGUCUCUCUCUCACACACACACAUAAGCUAUGUUUCACACACACACAUACACACAUGCUGUCUCUCUCUCUCUCACACACACACACACACACACAUGCUCUCUCUCUCUCUCUCUCUCUCUCUCUCUCUCUCACACACACACACACACACACACACACACACACACACACACACAUAUACACGCUGUGUGUGGUAGAACGUGUCUUUAGUCUCAGCAUUCGGGAGACAAAGGCAGGCAAUGUGCCUGAGUUCAAGGCCAAUCCAGUCUGUAUAAUGAAUCCCAGGCUGGCCAGAGCUACACAGUGAGCCUUUGUCUCAAAAUAAUUAAUUAAAAAAUAAGUUUAAUUUGAUUUAAUAAAAAUAAUAAAAAUAAUUAUUUUUGUUGUACCAAAUUUGACUCCACUCUAGAUACUUGAAUUUCUCUAUGAAUAAGGAGGGGCGUGGUGGCGCACGCCUUUAAUCCCAGCACUUGGGAGGCAGAGGCAGGCCGAUUUCUGAGUUCGAGGCCAGCCUGGUCUACAGAGUGAGUUCCAGGACAGCCAGGGCUACACAGAGAAACCCUGUCUUGAAAAACAAAAACAAAAAACCAAAGGAGGUUCCCCCC